CCUACGGGUGGCAGCAGUGGGGAAUAUUGGGCAAUGGGCGCAAGCCUGACCCAGCAACGCCGCGUGAAGGAAGAAGGCUUUCGGGUUGUAAACUUCUUUUGACAGGGAAGAGCAGAAGACGGUACCUGUCGAAUAAGACACGGCUCACUACGUGCCAGCAGCCGCGGUAAUACGGAGGUGGCAAGCGUUGUCCGGAUUUACUGGGUGUAAAGGGCGUGUAGCCGGGCUGACAAGUCAGAUGUGAAAUCUGGGGGCUCAACCCCCGAACUGCAUUUGAAACUGUUGGUCUUGAGUAUCGGAGAGGCAGGCGGAAUUCCUGGUGUAGCGGUGAAAUGCGUAGAUAUUAGGAGGAACACCGGUGGCGAAGGCAGCCUGCUGGACGACAACUGACGGUGAGGCGCGAAAGCGUGGGGAGCAAACAGGAUUAGAUACCCUAGUAGUC
rnacentral:rRNA from 1 species